GUCUUUUGGGCCGUGGUGGUGAAACAACUCAAUGGCCUUGCCGAGCCGAGGUCAACAGCACAAUGCUUUGGGGCUGCUCAGGGUUACCAAAGAGAAGAGUCCCGAAGACAAUGAGGUCCAACAGAAGAAAGAAGAUGACCUGAGAGAUUUCAGGUCCUGUCCACUAUCCUCCCCUGCAGACUUUGCCUCUUGCUGGGUUCCUGUGCUCCAAGCAUCAAGUCAAGGAGCUCAUUCUGGACGAGCCAAGCUGCAUGGAAAACCCCAUGACAAUUGAUCUUUUGUGGAUCAUGUCCAUGUUCAAUAAACUUGUCAUUAAUCAGUGAUGUGUGUCCAGUGUAUCUCAUCAGAGCCUCCCAUCCCUUAAGUUCUUUACACGAAAAAUAACAGUGGGAGGGAAGGUGAAAGGGGAGCUGGUACUCAGCUUCCAGACUCAACACAUCUGGUUCUCGAGAGGCGUUUUCUUGGAUGCCUUGCCCUGAUAUCCUCAUUCACGCAAAACUCAACCCUUUUCCCACCC
rnacentral:lncRNA from 1 species